rnacentral:rRNA from 2 species
UUCGCAAUGCCCGAAAGGGUGACGAAGCGACGCCGCGUGGGUGAGGAAGGCCUUCGGGUUGUAAAGCCCUGUCAGGAGUUAAGAAAUGUAAGUGCGCUAAUAUCGCACUUAUUUGACGAAGGCUCCAAAGGAAGCCACGGCUAACUCUGUGCCAGCAGCCGCGGUAAUACAGAGGUGGCAAGCGUUGUUCGGAAUUAUUGGGCGUAAAGAGCACGUAGGUGGGUUUGUAAGUCAGAUGUGAAAGCCUUCUGUUCAACGGAAGAAUUGCAUCUGAAACUACAAGUCUUGAGUGUAGGAGGGGAGAAUGGAACUUCUGGUGGAGCGGUGAAAUGCGUAGAUAUCAGAAGGAACGCCGGCGGCGAAAGCGAUUCUCUGGCCUAUUACUGACACUCAGUGUGCGAAAGCUAGGGGAGCAAACGGGAUUAGAUACCCCGGUAGUCCUAGCUGUAAACGAUGGGCACUAAGUAGAGGGGUUUU